UAGGAUGCACCAUUCUUGAGAUGGCAACAUCAAAACCUCCAUGGAGCCAGUAUGAGGGGGUGGCCGCAAUAUUUAAGAUUGCAAAUAGCAGUGAGAAUCCUGAACUUCCCAAUUACUUGUCAGAAGAUGCCCAGAAUUUUGUAAAACUUUGCUUGCAGAGGGAUCCAUCUGCACGUCCCACUGCUGUGCAACUGCUAAAUCAUCCCUUCAUCCAAAAUCAAGAUAUAGGAGAGGUUGCAAUUGCUAACUCUAAUGGUGAAGCCUUCUCUGCAUAUGGAAGACAUCCUAAGGUAUUGUUUGAGAUGAUUAGAUCUCUUUUAAAUUUCUUUUUUGCCACUUGAGUUCAGGACACUAUGCUAAAAUGCGCAUGUGUUCUUUUAAUUCCAAUUAGAUUCAAACUAUUAUCAUAUCUGCAGGGAUGAAGUAUCAAUCUGUGACAGCUGCUUUCUCUCUUCCUGUUACCCUCUUGAAUGUCCAGCAGGACUCACGGUAUUAAUUCCCAGUCACCAACCCGACAAUUCUGUGAAGACCACAGAGAACAAACCAGUGCGAAGCUUGCCAAUGAACUAGAAUGCAAAGAGUUCUCACUUAAUCACUUCAAAUAUUAAAGUUGGGAUGAAUCCACCGCUUGACUAGUAACUCAUGGUGGGAUACCUGCCAUGUUGGUGGCCAGAGCUCAAAGUUCAAACGGGUAAAAUAUGUUUAGGAUGAAUUCGUCCUCUGCUUCUUAGCCUUCCCGCCAAAUGGCCAUGUCCGUGUCCAGCUAACAUCUUGAAUAAACUUGACAAGUUUUGACAAACAGAAUUGAAAGAAUUCUGGCAUUGACAAAAUGUUGUGAAUGGAUACUCCAGUUUGAAUGAUUUUGUACAAAAGAUCUCUGUAAAGGAAAAUAAAAAUGUACAUAAUUUUCUUGUAUAUUGCUGGGUAAACGGAGGAAGUUGGGUCUUCUUGGGCUCCGGCAGCUGUAGAGCACCCUGGAUUUCUGCAGUUCCCUUGCGAUGCAAACCAAUUCCUUCAUUAUGCACUGUUGAUCAUCAAA
rnacentral:misc_RNA from 1 species